AAUUCCUACGGGAGGCAGCAGGAGGGAAUCUUCGGCAAUGGGGGGAACCCUGACCGAGCAACGCCGCGUGAGAGAAGAAGGUUUUCGGAUCGUAAAGCUCUUUUGUAAGAGAAGAACGUUAGCGGGAGUGGUAAAUCCGCUAAGUGACGGUACAUUACCAGAACGGGACGGCUCACUACGUGCCAGCAGUCGCGGUAAUACGUAGGUCCCGAGCGUUGUCCGGAUUUAUUGGGCGUGAAGCGAGCGCAGGAGGGCUGAUAAGUCAG
rnacentral:rRNA from 1 species